rnacentral:lncRNA from 1 species
GGCAGCUUGUGCAAUUUCACUUCCCUCCAACUCGCCCAUUUUAGCUGUCAGAUUCAUUUCAUUUCUCUUCCCAUCACCACAGUCUUCUCGCGUUCCUUCAACCUCCACUUACUUGCACAAUCGCCAUCCUCUUCAAAACCUGCGCCUCUCUCUCUCUCUCUCUCUCUCUCGGAGCUCAGAUCCAAAGUCUGAGCAAAGCAAAUUCGCUCAGCACCAAUGGAUCUGUGGAUGAACACGCACCAAGUUUUGAAGACGCAAGCCCAGCACCUGUAAUUGACGGUGGUGGAGGAGUCAGAGUCAUCAGGACGCAGAGCAAGUGAUUACUGGGUGAAAGUUUGAUCGAAUUUGAGUCCUUGAUCUUACUUUGAAGAAGAAGAAGAAUCACGCACGCUGAGAAAGUUUUGAGUGAUUACGGGGUGAAAGGUUUGAUCGAUUUUGAGUCCUUGAUCUUACUCUGAAGAAGAAGAAGAAUCACCUAGACACUGAAGGUUUUGAGGUGCUAAAUAAGACAACUGGUACUUUCAGCAAAUCUCCCUCCUGUUUCUUCAGUACUGCUUCUAAGGUUGCUUUGGAGUGUUGAUCUUUCUUGGUGUUUUGAUAGGUGAGAUUUGUAUGCUCAGAGCUGAGAGCUAUGAUUAGUUCAAUUACAGAGAUAUCCACCUGCAAGUAUGCAGUUGCAAUUAAAUGCCCCACACUUUGCAAGCAUCCAUUAUUCCUAUCAGAGAGACCGGUAUGGUAGACCAUUAAUUGUAAUGUACUUUCCCAAGGAUUACAAGGAAACCCAAGUUGAGGAUGAAGAAUCUAAAAUUAAGCAGAUGGUUAUGGUCAUAGACAGUGAAUCUCAUUCCAAUGAUGAAUCUGACAAGUAACAUUUUAUAAAUUCAGAAAAUUUUGUGAAUGCUAAUGAUAGCCAACCUUAUGUAAUGUUGUUUUCUUUUGCACCUUUCACAAGUUUAUAAAAACCUAGUCAUUGAUUGUCCUUUAACAUUGUUGCCGUAAUAUUUCGAGAUGGAUAUCAUAUCCUGAAUUGAUACUAGUAAAUCAGAAUGUUUAU